rnacentral:rRNA from 1 species
ACGCUAGCUACAGGCUUAACACAUGCAAGUCGAGGGGAAACGGCAUUAAGUGCUUGCACUUUUUGGACGUCGACCGGCGCACGGGUGAGUAACGCGUAUCCAACCUUCCCAUGACUAAGGGAUAACCUGCCGAAGGGCAGACUAAUACCUUAUGGUCUUCACUGACGGCAUCAGAUGUGAAGUAAAGAUUUAUCGGUUAUGGAUGGGGAUGCGUCUGAUUAGCUUGUUGGCGGGGUAACGGCCCACCAAGGCAACGAUCAGUAGGGGUUCUGAGAGGAAGGUCCCCCACAUUGGAACUGAGACACGGUCCAAACUCCUACGGGAGGCAGCAGUGAGGAAUAUUGGUCAAUGGGCGAGAGCCUGAACCAGCCAAGUAGCGUGCAGGAUGACGGCCCUAUGGGUUGUAAACUGCUUUUGUAUGGGGAUAAAGUCAAUCACGUGUGAUUGUUUGCAGGUACCAUACGAAUAAGGACCGGCUAAUUCCGUGCCAGCAGCCGCGGUAAUACGGAAGGUCCGGGCGUUAUCCGGAUUUAUUGGGUUUAAAGGGAGCGUAGGCUGGAGAUUAAGUGUGUUGUGAAAUGUAGACGCUCAACGUCUGACUUGCAGCGCAUACUGGUUUCCUUGAGUACGCACAACGUCGGCGGAAUUCGUCGUGUAGCGGUGAAAUGCUUAGAUAUGACGAAGAACUCCGAUUGCGAAGGCAGCUGACGGGAGCGCAACUGACGCUGAAGCUCGAAGGUGCGGGUAUCGAACAGGAUUAGAUACCCUGGUAGUCCGCACAGUAAACGAUGGAUGCCCGCUGUUGGUACCUGGUAUCAGCGGCUAAGCGAAAGCAUUAAGCAUCCCACCUGGGGAGUACGCCGGCAACGGUGAAACUCAAAGGAAUUGACGGGGGCCCGCACAAGCGGAGGAACAUGUGG